rnacentral:tRNA from 1 species
UACGGACGGUUCAAGUCCCUCUACCCCCAUCGGAAGGAAUAAUAAUAUUUAUUAUGG